GACGAACGCUGGCGGCGUGCCUAAUACAUGCAAGUAGAACGCAGUUGCGAACGGGUGAGUAACGCGUAGGUAACUGCCUCAUAGCGGGGGAUAACUAUUGGAAACGAUAGCUAAUAACGCAUACUGUGAGCUUGACCUGCGUUGUAUUAGCUAGUUGGUGAGGUAAAGGUUCACCAAGGCGACGAUACAGAGCCGACCUGGGAGGGUGCUCGGCCACACGGGGACUGAGCCACCGCCCAGACUCGUACGGGAGGCCGCACUAGGGAAUCGUCGGCAAUGGACGAAAGUCUGACCGAGCAAUGCCGCGUUAGUGAAGACGGUUUUUGGAUCGGAAAGCUCUGUUGGCAGCGAAGCGGUAACUACACAGAAAGGAACUGCUAACUAUGUGCCAGCAGCCGCGGUAAUUC
rnacentral:rRNA from 1 species